AUUGAACGCUGGCGGCAGGCCUAACACAUGCAAGUCGAGCGGAUGAAGGGAGCUUGCUCCUGGAUUCAGCGGCGGACGGGUGAGUAAUGCCUAGGAAUCUGCCUGGUAGUGGGGGAUAACGUCCGGAAACGGGCGCUAAUACCGCAUACGUCCUGAGGGAGAAAGUGGGGGAUCUUCGGACCUCACGCUAUCAGAUGAGCCUAGGUCGGAUUAGCUAGUUGGUGGGGUAAAGGCCUACCAAGGCGACGAUCCGUAACUGGUCUGAGAGGAUGAUCAGUCACACUGGAACUGAGACACGGUCCAGACUCCUACGGGAGGCAGCAGUGGGGAAUAUCGGACAAUGGGCGAAAGCCUGAUCCAGCCAUGCCGCGUGUGUGAAGAAGGUCCUCGGAUUGUAAAGCACUUUAAGUUGGGAGGAAGGGCAGUAAGUUAAUACCUUGCUGUUUUGACGUUACCAACAGAAUAAGCACCGGCUAACUUCGUG
rnacentral:rRNA from 1 species